GCUAGUAUUAAAUUUUGAAUGACUUAUAUAAGGGACAAGAUUUUGUAUGAAUUUAUCUAUUGAUGCUAAGGAUUGUGAUGAAAGAGAUUUACAAAAAAUAAACAAGUUGAUUCUACUUACAAAGAUGUUGACUUAAGUUCUUCUAGUUUGUUCGAGUUGGAGCUAAUUCUUCUAAAAAAAAGAAGAUUGAUUUGAAAAUUA
rnacentral:lncRNA from 1 species